GAUGAAGAACGCAGCGAAAUGCGAUAAGUAAUGUGAAUUGCAGAAUUCAGUGAAUCAUCGAAUCUUUGAACGCACAUUGCGCCCGCCAGUAUUCUGGCGGGCAUGCCUGUCUGAGCGUCAUUUCAACCCUCAUGCCCCUAGGGCGUGGUGUUGGGGAUCGGCCAAAGCCCGCGAGGGACGGCCGGCCCCUAAAUCUAGUGGCGGACCCGUCGUGGCCUCCUCUGCGAAGUAGUGAUAUUCCGCAACGGAGAGCGAUGAGCCCCUGCCGUUAAACCCCCAACUUUCCAAGGUUGACCUCAGAUCAGGUAGGAAUACCCGCUGAACUUAAGCAUAUCAAUAAGCGGAGGA
rnacentral:misc_RNA from 1 species